rnacentral:rRNA from 2 species
GUAUAUCAUAAGCGGGGAAAAGAAACCAACAGGGAUUGCCUCAGUAACGGCGAGUGAAGCGGCAAAAGCUCAAAUUUGAAAUCCCCCGGGAAUUGUAAUUUGAAGGUGGCCUCAGUUAGUCCAAACAUUCUUAAGUCCAUUGGAAAAUGGCGCCAUGGAGGGUGAUAGCCCCGUAAAGAUGUCGUUUGUUCUAUUUUCUCUGGCCACCAAAGAGUCGAGUUGUUUGGGAAUGCAGCUCUAAGUGGGUGGUAAAUUCCAUCUAAAGCUAAAUAUUGGCGAGAGACCGAUAGCGAACAAGUACAGUGAUGGAAAGAUGAAAAGCACUUUGAAAAGAGAGUGAAAAAGUACGUGAAAUUGUUGAAAGGGAAGGGCUUGCAAGCAGACACAACCUCGUGUUGGGCCAGCAUCGGGGCGAGAGGAAGUAAAAACGAUUUGGAAAUGUAACUUUCGAGUAUUAUAGACCUUAUCCCUCCCUUCCAUCUCAUCCCGAGGCCUGCGGUUAUC